GAUCAUGGCUCAGGAUGAACGCUAGCGACAGGCCUAACACAUGCAAGUCGAGGGGCAGCGGAGAGGUAGCAAUACCUUUGCCGGCGACCGGCGCACGGGUGAGUAACACGUAUGCAAUCCACCUGUAACAGGGGGAUAACCCGGAGAAAUCCGGACUAAUACCCCAUAAUAUGGGCUCUCCGCACGGAGGGUCCAUUAAAGAGAGCAAUUUUGGUUACAGACGAGCAUGCGCUCCAUUAG
rnacentral:rRNA from 1 species